rnacentral:tRNA from 1 species
GGCGGGUUCGUCUAUCGGUUCAGGACACAUGCCUCUCACGCAUGAAAGAUGGGUUCGAUUCCCAUACCCGCUA